AGAGUACCAGGUAAUAAUAUGGUUAUAUACAGAGAGUACCAGGAAAUAACAUGGCUAUAUACAGGGAGUACCAGGUAAUAACAUGGUUAUAUACAGAGAGUACCAGGAAAUAACAUGGCUAUAUACAGGGAGGGAAUAACAUGAUUAUAUACAGGGAGUACCAGGUAAUAACAUGGCUCUAUACAGGGAGGUAAUGACAUGGUUAUAUACAGGGAGUACCAGGUAAUAACAUGGUUAUAUACAGGGAUUACCAGGUAAUAAUAACAUGGUUAUAUACAGGGAGUACCAGGUAAUAAUAACAUGGUUAUAUACAGGGAGUACCAGGUACUAACAUGGCUAUAUACAGGGAGGUAAUAACAUGACUAUAUACAGGGAUAACCAGGUAAUAACAUGGUUAUAUACAGCAAGUACCAGGUAAUAACAUGGCUAUAUACAGGGAGUACCAGGUAAUAACAUGGUUAUAUACAGAGAGUACCAGGUAAUAACAUGGUUAUAUACAGGGAUUACCAGGUAAUAACAUGGUUAUAUACAGGGAGUACCAGGUAAUAACAUGGCUAUAUACAGGGAGUACCAGGUAAUAACAUGGCUAUAUACAGGAAGUACCAGGUAAUAACAUGGUUAUAUACAGGGAGUACCAGGUAAUAACAUGGUUAUAUACAGGGAGUACCAGGUAAUGACAUGGUUAUAUACAGGGAGUACCAGGUAAUGACAUGGUUAUAUACAGGGAGUACCAGGUAAUAACAUG